AGCCAGAAACUGCAGUUUCUGGCCUCAGAUGAUCACAGAAGGCAGGUCAGCUACAGUAGUAUAGUAACUUAGAUAAGUAAAAUUUUAUUAUGCAGCAACUUUAAAUAUGUCAUAAGACAAAGUUUUACCCCCCCCACCCCAUGCUGACACUCUUUUCCUUUUGCUGCCUCACGAAGAACUGACAAGAAGAAAGAAGAUCAUUUCCACCGAGCCUGGGGUGACCCUCAGCAGCCAGAUGGCUUACAAAACUUGAUGGCUUCUAAGUUUGUCUGCAGCUGGAAGGAUCACUCUGUCUGUCGGGUCUUCUCAGUUGGAGCACCAAAAUGCUGACUUUUAAAAUACUAAAUUCCAAAUGUUCAAUUUUACCAAGUGAAGUUGAACAAUCUUCUUUUGCUGCCUGAAGAUUAAGUCUUGGAUCUGCUUCCACCACCAUUGUGGGACUGUAAUUUGGCCAUGCCCCCCAGAGCCCAGAGAGAGGGCAGAGAGAACAAGUCUCUGCCUCAAGAUUUCUCUGCCCUGCCCUUCUCCUCCGUUUCCAAUAUAUAAGUGAAACACCUUCUGACAUGUUUCAGGAGAGCCCUUUACCAUUCACCACCCAACCCCCCAGUCAUCUGUUAAUAAAUCAACACGUCUCAAA